AGUGAACGCUGGCGGUAGGCCUAACACAUGCAAGUCGAACGGCAGCACAGUAAGAGCUUGCUCUUACGGGUGGCGAGUGGCGGACGGGUGAGGAAUACAUCGGAAUCUACUUUUUCGUGGGGGAUAACGUAGGGAAACUUACGCUAAUACCGCAUACGACCUACGGGUGAAAGCAGGGGAUCUUCGGACCUUGCGCGAUUGAAUGAGCCGAUGUCGGAUUAGCUAGUUGGCGGGGUAAGGGCCCACCAAGGCGACGAUCCGUAGCUGGUCUGAGAGGAUGAUCAGCCACACUGGAACUGAGACACGGUCCAGACUCCUACGGGAGGCAGCAGUGGGGAAUAUUGGACAAUGGGCGCAAGCCUGAUCCAACCAUACCGCGUGGGUGAAGAAGGCCUUCGGGUUGUAAAGCCCUUUUGUUGGGAAAGAAAAGCAGCAGGUUAAUACCCCGCUGUUCUGACGGUACCCAAAGAAUAAGCACCGGCUAACUUCGUG
rnacentral:rRNA from 1 species